rnacentral:rRNA from 1 species
ACACGUAGGGGCCUGACGUUGUUCGGAAUCAUUGGGCGUAAAGGGCGCGCAGGCGGCCGUCCAAGUCCGGUGUUAAAUGGUCGGGCUCAACCCGAUCAUGCGCUGGAAACUGGGCGGCUGGAGUCCCGGAGGGGAUGCCGGAAUUCCAGGUGUAGGGGUGAAAUCUGUAGAUAUCUGGAAGAACACCGAUGGCGAAGGCAGGCAUCUGGCCGGAGACUGACGCUGAGGCGCGAAGGCGCGGGGAGCGAACAGGUUUAGAUACCCUGGUAGUCCACGCCGUAAACGAUGAGUGCUAAGUGUUGGAGGGUUUCCGCCCUUCAGUGCUGCAGCUAACGCAUUAAGCACUCCGCCUGGGGAGUACGGCCGCAAGGCUGAAACUCAAAUGAAUUGGCGGGGG